rnacentral:rRNA from 1 species
GGACGAACGCUGGCGGCGUGCUUAACCCAUGCAAGUCGAACGGAAAGGCCCUGCUUGCAGGGUACUCGAGUGGCGAACGGGUGAGUAACACGUGGGUGAUCUGCCCUGCACUUCGGGAUAAGCCUGGGAAACUGGGUCUAAUACCGGAUAGGAGCCAUUUUUAGUGUGAUGGUUGGAAAGUUUUUUCGGUGUAGGAUGAGCUCGCGGCCUAUCAGCUUGUUGGUGGGGUAAUGGCCUACCAAGGCGGCGACGGGUAGCCGGCCUGAGAGGGUGGACGGCCACAUUGGGACUGAGAGACGGCCCAGACUCCGACGGGAGGCAGCAGUGGGGAAUAUUGCACAAUGGGCGCAAGCCUGAUGCAGCGACGCCGCGUGGGGGAUGACGGCCUUAGGGUUGGAAACUCCUUUCGCUAGGGACGAAGCUUUUUGUGACGGUACCUAGAGAAGAAGCACCGGCUAACUACGUG